rnacentral:misc_RNA from 1 species
AACGCACCUUGCACCUUUUGGUAUUCCGAAAGGUAUGCCUGUUUGAGUGUCUUGAAACCUCACUCUCUAGAGUUUUCUCUAUAGACGUGGAUUUGGGUGUUGCAAUUUGCUCACCUUGAAUAUCUUAGUGGUUCCAACCGUAGCCUGAUGUAAUAAGUUUCAUCUGGUCAAGGGGAAGACUGCUUCCAAUCGCCUGUAUGGGCACUAUUUAAGACUAGACCUCAAAUCAGGUAGGACUACCCGCUGAACUUAA